rnacentral:rRNA from 1 species
AUUGAACGCUAGCGGGAUGCCUUACACAUGCAAGUCGAACGGAGUGGCGGACGGGUGAGUAAUAUAUCGGAAUGUGCCCAGUGGCGGGGGAUAACUACUCGAAAGUGUGGCUAAUACCGCAUACUCUUGGAGCGGCCGAUAUGGGAUUAGCUAGUUGGUGGGGUAACGGCUCACCAAGGCAACGAUCCGUCGCUGGUUUGAGAGGAAGACCAGCCACACUGGAACUGAGACACGGCCCAGACUCCUACGGGAGGCAGCAGUGGGGAAUAUUGGACAAUGGGGGAAAGCCUGAUGCAGCCAUGCCGCGUGUAUGAAGAAGGCCUUCGGGUUGUAAAGUACUUUUGGCAGGGAGGCGUUACCUGCAGAAUAAGCACCGGCUAACUACGUGCCAGCAGCCGCGGUAAUUC